rnacentral:sRNA from 1 species
UGAAGCUGUUCAAGUAGUCGUCUACGUAU